GGAGAAAGAAGAAGACAAAGAGAACAGCAUAUGGUCCGUUUUGUUGAAUGUUCCAGUGUUUCUCUAAAAAAAUAUCUUCAGUCCAGCUUAAACGAGUUUAUCUACAACCAGUUUACUGCUGCUGAAGAAACAUUCAGAGCUUAAAUAAAUCACCGUCAUGUCGGAGGAAGAGAUGGAUGAUCAGCGCAGACUGCUUGGUUUCUCCCGGACUCCCCAGAUAAUCUUACACCGGAUAGAUUCCCUGAAGUGCAACGUUUGUAACGAGGAGAGGAGAUCCACUGUGGACCAGGAGGAGUUAGAACCUCUGCAAGUGAAACAAGAACAGGAAGUUUACUGCAGUCAGGGUGGAGAACAGACUGAAUUAAUACAGGAGACUGAUAUGGUGGUUCCUGUUGAUGAGCAAAUAAACCAAACUGUAUCAGUACCAAACAGAAACCAAAUCAUCUUCCAGGAAGCUGCUGAAGCUGAGAACCAAAAUAAGAAAAGAUGCAAGACUU